rnacentral:rRNA from 1 species
AUGGCUGACGACGCCGCCGCCAACAAGAAGGCCUCAGCCGAUGCCGAGGCUGCCGCUGCAGCCGCCGCGUUGGCCCGGCCAACCGGAGCGUAUGACUCGUUCAUCCCCUAUUUGCUCGUUCAUGUGCUAGCCGUAUAUAUGUUGUUCAUAGAUGUUUCGGUUCUAUGUACUUUAUGUGCUAACAUGCUUAGGUACCGGUAUGACAUGCAUACCGUAUUUGCCAUGGUUACUGUUUACUCGUGGAUUAGAUUAGUCGGAAAAGUGCUAAUAUUUCCAACAAUCCAAAAACCUUAUUUUAUGCACUUUUCGACUCAUGGCUUCGCGGCUACUCUGAAACCGGAAAAAUUUACUGGAACGCAUUUUAAUACAGCCUUGUGGCUCAUAGCAAUGAACAUGUUCUGGGUUGGUAGUUUGUCUCCCACGGUAAUGAUUGCUCCUGACAGAAGAAUGCGUUUAGGGAGGCAACCACCAUCUUUGUGGGGGCCGUUCUUACUGUGA